GACGAACGCUGGCGGCGUGCUUAACACAUGCAAGUCGAACGGAAAGGCCCUGCUUUUGUGGGGUGCUCGAGUGGCGAACGGGUGAGUAACACGCGAGUAACCUGCCCUUGACUUUGGGAUAACUUCUGGAAACUGCGGCUAAUACCGGAUAUGAUCUCCUGCUGCAUGGUGGGGGUUGGAAAGUUUCGGCGGUUGUGUAUGGACUCGCGGCUUAUCAGCUUGUUGGUGUGGUAGUGGCUUACAAAGGCUUUGACGGGUAGCCGGCCUGAGAGGGUGGACGGCCACAAUACGACUAAGAUACGGACCAGACUCGUACCGGCGGCAGUAGUGGAGAGUAUUGCACAAUGGGGGGGAGCGUGAGGCGGAAAUGUCGCGAGCGGGAUACCGGCCUUCUGGUUGUAAACAGCUUUCGCCUGUGACGAGGAGGGAGUGACGGUAAUGGGUAAGGAAGCACCGGCUAACUACGUG
rnacentral:rRNA from 1 species